GGAUCAAUAUGUCGGUCGUGCUUCGGUACGUACUGGUAUCAUUGGUUUCUCCUUUCUAACGAACCAUGAUGUCAUUAAUUUGGUGUUAUGGGGAGUUAGGACUGUUACUUUGAAAAAAUUAGAGUGUUUAAAGCAGGCUCACGCUUGAAUACAUUAAUGGAAUAAUGAAAUAGGAUGUUUGAUUCUAUUUUGUUGGUUUCUAGGAUUGACGUA
rnacentral:rRNA from 1 species